CAAUAGCGUAUAUUAAAGUUGUUGCGGUUAAAAAGCUCGUAGUUGGAUUUCUGCCGAGGACGACCGGUCCGCCCUCUGGGUGAGCAUCUGGCUCGGCCUGGGCAUCUUCUUGGAGAACGUAUCUGCACUUGACUGUGUGGUGCGGUAUUCAGGACUUUUACUUUGAGGAAAUUAGAGUGUUUCAAGCAGGCACACGCCUUGAAUACAUUAGCAUGGAAUAAUAAGAUAGGACCUCGGUUCUAUUUUGUUGGUUUCUAGAUCUGAGGUAAUGAUUAAUAGGGAUAGUUGGGGGCAUUCGUAUUUAACUGUCAGAGGUGAAAUUCUUGGAUUUGUUAAAGACGGACUACUGCGAAGGCAUUUGCCAAGGAUGUUUUCAUUGA
rnacentral:rRNA from 1 species